rnacentral:tRNA from 1 species
GUCGUCGUGGCCGAGUGGUUAAGGCGACAGACUACAAAUCUGUUGGGCUCUGCCCGCACAGGUUCGAAUCCUGUCGGCGACG